rnacentral:rRNA from 1 species
AGCCAUAAGCUAUUAUUUAUGGUUAAACCUGCUCAAUGAGUCAAUUUAAAUAGCCGCAGUACAUUGACUGUGCAAAGGUAGCAUAAUCAAUUGGCUUAUAAUUGAAGUCUAGUAUGAAUGGGAAGCCGGGAAAUAUCUGUCUCAACUGGAACUAUAUAAUUUACUUAAUGAGUGAAAAUUCUCAUAGGAUGAAGAAAGACGAGAAGACCCUAGAAAUUUUAUGACAUACUCUUAUAUAUUUAUUUUGUUGGGGCGACAUAGUAACAUAUAACUUACUAUUUAAUACAAGCAGCUACUUAGUGGAAAGAUUAAAUUACUCUAGGGAUAACAGCAUUAUUCAAAAUGAGUUUGUGACCUCGAUGUUGGACUAGGAAAUGGUUUCUUUAGAAGAGAAAUUAUCCGGCUCUGUUCGAGCUUCAUCUCCUAC